GCAUAUCAAUAAGUGGAGGAAAAGAAACCAACAGGGAUUGCCUUAGUAACGGCGAGUGAAGCGGCAAAAGCUCAAAUUUGAAAUCUAGUACCUUCGGUGCUCGAGUUGUAAUUUGAAGAAAGUUUCCUUGGUUAGUCCUUAGCCUAUGUUCCUUGGAAUAGGACAUCAUAGAGGGUGAGAAUCCCGUAUGGCUUUGGAUCCUAUCCUUUGUAGGAAGCUUUCGAAGAGUCGAGUUGUUUGGGAAUGCAGCUCUAAGUGGGUGGUAAAUUCCAUCUAAAGCUAAAUAUUGGCGAGAGACCGAUAGCGAACAAGUACAGUGAUGGAAAGAUGAAAAGAACUCUGAAGAGAGAGUGAAAAAGUACGUGAAAUUGCUGAAAGGGAAGGGCUUUAGGUCAGACUUGGCGUUUAAUGAUUAUCUUCCCUUCUUGGGUUGUGCACUCGUUUUUCGUCGGGCCAAUAUCAGUUCUUGCGAUAGAGCACCUCUUGGAAUGUGACUUCCCUUCGGGGUUGUGUUAUAGCCUUGAGACGAUCUAUUUGCUGGGGACUGAGGACUGCGCUUUUGCUAGGAUAUUGGCGUAAUGACCUUAAGCCGCCCGUCUUGAAACACGGACCAAGGAGUCUAACGUCUAUGCGAGUGUUUGGGUGUAAAACCCGUACGCGAAAUGAAAGUGAACGUAGGUUGGGGCCCCUUGUGGGUGCACAAUCGACCGAUCCUGAUGUUUUCAGAUGGAUUUGAGUAAGAGCAUAGCUGUUGGGACCCGAAAGAUGGUGAACUAUGCCUGAAUAGGGUGAAGCCAGAGGAAACUCUGGUGGAGGCUCGUAGCGGUUCUGACGUGCAAAUCGAUCGUCGAAUUUGGGUAUAGGGGCGAAAGACUAAUCGAACCAUCUAGUAGCUGGUUCUGCGA
rnacentral:rRNA from 1 species